UUGACCUCAAUCAGGUAG
rnacentral:rRNA from 1 species